GCCUACAAGAGUAUUAUUGGUCGAAUUUUUUUAUUGUUUUUUUUUUCAGAUUCCGAACGUGGCGAGGGAGCUAUUGGUUUUAAAUUGAUGUUUUUUUCUUCUUUUUUAUUUUUCUCUGUUCUAGCCUGUGGAUAAGUUUUUUUCGUAGUAAACUUGUUCCGAUAUGUACGUGCAUAUUUUUACGAGCAACUUUUCUGAAAGCUCAAGUUGUCUCAAAGGGGUAAAUUUUUGAUUUUUAACGCUAUUUUUUUAAUUAAAAGCACUUAAAUGAGAAAAAACGUAGAAAAACAUACCUACCUUCCUCACUACUCACAUACAACAGUUGCCGCACCCAUCACCAGAAUGAGAUAUUUUUUUGUUUGGUAAAUUACCU